GUCGCCUUGGUCAAGGGGUUAAGACGCAGCCCUCUCAAGGCUGAGUCAGGGGUUCAAUUCCCCUAGGCGGUACCA
rnacentral:tRNA from 1 species